CCGCGGGCGACUCAUUCCCGUAAUGGCCGCCGUCUGGCGUUGUCAGUGAGCGUGCGAGAGCCCGUCGCGAGAAGUUGUGUUACGUCGGGAAGCGUACGAGUCGCGAUCGCGGUGAUUUUGCGUGUGACGAGAACAGAUCGCUCGCGAGGCGAAUGGUGACAAUCAAGUACGAAGGUGAGUGCGCGGUGUGUCCGUGAUAUCGCGAUUGAACCCGCGCCGGCGGCGAUUUAAAAGCGAGCGACUAGAGCUCCGUGCAGUGUUGUGUGCUACCCCUCUCUCUCUCUCUCUCUCUCUCUUACCCUCCGUCUGUCUGUUUACCCGAAGCAUCGACCGUGACGAGUGUCAGCGACUUGUCCGAAAAUCGGUGACGCGCGUCUAGCUACCUGUCAUCGUGAACGCGAGACGCGCCGAUGUACGCCUCGCACGGCGGAUGCGCCGCCGCCACUGACGCAACGGCGUCGGCGGGCUUCCUUGCCUCGCCGCCGAAAGAUGGUAAACACAUCGAGUGACAGCGUGCGCGAGUGAGGAAACGGCCGUUUUGACUCGUCCGUAUCAUUCGGUCGCAUUGCGAGUUUGACUGUGCGAUCAAUCUACAAAGGAAAGAAAGAGAGAGAGAACGUGUCCAGUAGGGCCGCGGGCCCGAAUUCCUCACGUGGUUCAAGGUCGUCUAAAAGCAUCCAGACGUCACGAGCGAACGAACGAGCGAGCGAGCGCUGCAAGGCGACGCUUUCCACGCGGCACCGCGCGAGAGAGCUGUCAGCAGUGAACGCGUCGCGAGAUUUUUUCCCUGAAUCUUUUCGUCUCAGGACCAGAAAACUGCUUCGGAUAUGAGGACACUGUGCGUAACAACAAAACCCGAUGUACUGAGGAUCUGAAUCAGCCUACGUGGAUUCGCCCGCUGACGACGAGAGGAGAACCAUGCCAAAUUCCGGUGCCGCGUUCUUCCUACGCUUCGCGUUUGCGAUUAUGUGACGUUAUCCCGCAGUGCGCGACUGCAAGGAUAACUUGUGACCGACCGACUGUGAUUUCAACGUGCGACGCCACUGCCAAAAAAAAGGGGGAUACAAACUCGCGCCGAUCGCGAAAUUGCGUGUCUUCGUCUUGUUUGCUUCCUACGCCUUCCAAUCUGUUUUCUUGAGGACAAGUGUCUUCCACGUUAUACCAAAAACAUUCACUAUUGUCUCGCUUCGAGAUCCCUACGUCUUCCGCGAGUUUCUUGACGAGUGAACCGAGAGGACCAUCGACUUCUUUGAAUUUCGCUUGAAGCGCAUUCGAGAUAUAAGGCACAAAGGAAAAUCGAUCUUAUCUUCUUCCGCUGAUGAAGAUACCAUGACACCGAGUGAUUCAUGAAUAUUUCUCUACCGGAUCACGAACAAAUUGUCUUCUAUAUCAUAUUCUAGACUGCGUUCAAAGGCAUUUUGCAUUAUUACAAGAAGCUUGCAACAUUUAUCAUUGAUCAUCGCUUAAAUAUAUCUAAAGCGUAUUGUCGUCUUCACGUUCAUUUGUGAUUCGUACAAUCGCUUGUCCUGCGAUCCGCGAUCCUUGUUCGCGGGGAUUACGGCAGGACGACGCCGCGACGACCGUCGAGGGGCGCUUUGUCGAGCCGGCCGCGUGUGAUGCGGCGCACGCACGGUCGCUGCUGUUGCUGCUGUCUCGCGUCAGUUUGCGCGACCGCCUCGUCGCGAUAACGGCGAAGAUGUUCGGGAAAGUGCCGCCGUCGAAUACGCCAGGUCCGCCUAAUAAUAACAGCGGCCAAAUGUCAGCCAAGUCGUGCGCCAGGCCGGCACCGACGGGCACGACGACGUCGUGUCUGCCGUGCUUCUCGGCGGAGGAGACGCCGACGGUGGGCGCCGAUGACAAAGCGAGACCUUGGCGACCGACGAAGGACAGCGCCGGUGAUUCUACCGCGGUGGUUUCCGAGGCUCCCUGCAACUCCGUGCAAUCACCCAUCACUUUGACAGACGCCUCGUCCACGAUGGAGCUUCCGAGACCCUGCAGGACGGACACGACGAUCUGCGCCUCUGCCUGCCCGAAGAUCUCGGCCAAGUGUUCGCCCAAAGAAGCGCCGGUGAGCAGGAGUCAUGCCAACGCGACACAAAAGUGUCCCAUCGACCAAAAUUGCCAGAGUUUUUCGAAGACCAUGGCGCCUAGCACAGGCAGAUCGCGAAGACCGCAAUCCACCUCGACCGUGGGAAGUCUCGCUGUCGAAUCGUGUACAAAGGACUGUGCGAAAGCUGCGAAAAAAAUUGUUAUUAGCCGAGAGCCUGCGAGCGGCAAGGAACAUCAGACGACGAGUGGCAGCAGGACGACGUGUAGCGAGCAGCAGUCCAAGUGCUCUCAGGGAUACGCCAAGUUAUCUUCCGCGAAGUCUUCCGAAAUAAUCCACCAUCCGUCGCUGUCGGGCGCGAAAAGACCCAGCGAGGACGAGAACCUCUUUGUGGACGCGUGCGCGAAUUAUUCCGCGACUUCGUGUGCGACUUCGUCGAAUGGCGCGUCUGGCGUGUCAGCUAACGAGCUGUUGUACGCGCAAAAACCGGUGUCGAGGAUAGUCGACGUGAAAGACGGUGCCGGUGAUGCCGCGACGACCUGCGAGGAUGACUCGUGUGCCGGUGACUUCGUCACCUCGAUGCCGUCCAAAGACUGGAUGCGGAGAAUCACCAACGACGCGCUGCAGCAGAACUGCUACUUGCCGCAGGACAUGCCCACGGAGCUGCAGUUGUCGUCCUCGCCGAAAAACUACAGGGAGCUCAAGGAGAAGUGUCGCGAUCCACUAGUGUGGCGGCCCACAGAGAUGACGGAAAGUGCGGUACACGGACUGACGAUGUGCUCGGGCGAGACGUUUCAGGAUACGAGCUCGAAGAGGCGCACCGGGGCGUCUUGCCAGGCGCUCAGACACGCUGUCGCCUCGUUGAAUCGUUUGGAUGACUUUUACAUGGAGAAGAUAGGCGCAGGCUUCUUUUCGGAAGUCUACAAGGUUACUCAUAAAGUGACAAGUCAGGUGAUGGUGCUCAAAAUGAAUCAGCUGGCGGCGAACAGGCCGAAUAUGCUCAAGGAAGUUCAGCUUAUGAACAAGCUCAGCCAUCCGAACAUACUCAGGUUUAUGGGAGUGUGCGUGCACGAAGGCCAGCUGCAUGCAUUAACGGAGUACAUUAACGGCGGCAGCUUGGAGCAGCUGAUCAUGUCGCGGCACACGCCGCUGCCGCAUCUCGUCCGGAUGAAUCUCGCGAAGGAUGUGGCCCGCGGCAUGGCCUACCUACACAGUCGCGGCCUUUUCCAUCGUGACCUCACGUCGAAGAACGUGCUAAUCAAGAAGGACGAGUGCAGCCACGAGAUGACUGCGGUAGUAGGUGAUUUCGGACUGGCCGCGAAGAUACCCGAUCCCAGCACGGGCUAUCGGCUGAGCACUGUCGGUAGCCCCUACUGGAUGUCGCCCGAGUGCUUGAAGGGCCAGUGGUACGACCACAGGUCCGACGUCUUCUCAUUCGGGAUCGUGGUGUGCGAACUGAUCGGCCGGGUGCCCGCGGAUCCGGACGUUCUGCCACGCUCAGAUAACUUUGGCCUCGAUUACCUGGCCGUGGCGGAGAUCUGCGCGGCCGCCGAUCCGCCGCCCGCCUUCCUGCAGCUCGCCUUCAACUGCUGUACAUACGAACCAAAGUCCAGGCCGACCUUUCCGGAGAUCACGGCCAGCCUAGAGACCAUGAUAGCGGCCUUCGAGGAAGAGCUAAAGAACAACAUCGGUAAACGACAGUCCACCGUCGAUCCGACGCUGAUGUCCAGCAUGGACGAGAUCGCGCGCGAGGGACGCACGACGAAACGGCGCACCGCGAAGCUCAGGAGCCAGUCGGCGGACGCGAGAGGCUGCGACAACGCGACGCCGUCGGACAAGGCGAGGUGUCACUCGGCCAGGCGGGUGGCUGAACUCGCCAGCCGGCGGGAUCCGCAUUACAGGCCGAUGACUGCAAACCCGUUCCACGCGUUGGGCGGCGUGAAGAAGAUUCUCGGCGACCUGUUCUCCAGCUGCCUGGAACUGCCCUCGCUGGAGGACGUGCGGCCCAGCGUGACUGACGGCGCGUGCGGCAAGUUCAAGCCCGCGCAAAACGACAGCAUUGCCAAGAUCCUGGACAGAAAAAAGCCGAGCUCCGAACCGAGCAGUCCUACGGCCAGGAAGAAGUGGGAGAGGAAGGUCGCUACUAAGGUAGGCGCCGCGAGCCUGUUCGCCCAUCCGCUCUUUCGAGAUGGCUGGGAGCCACGCAGACGGGGUAGCUGCGAGUCGGGUUUCUGGAGCUGCGUCGGCGAGGAUCUGAGCCCAGAGCCGCCGAACCGACGGCACACGUCGACUCUCAGCAGCUCGGCGGCGAGUAGUCUGUUUCUGUUGGACGACCAUCGGACCAGCUCGAUCUACACAGACUCAUCCGAGGACAUCGCCAGUCUCGGUGGCGGCGAUUCGUGCUGGGAGGAACGACUAAGCGGCAUCGGCUCGUCGAGCAAAACCAUCUCGAAGAUCGUCGAGUACUUCGAGAGGAAGCAGGCGAUGGCAGGUAGACUCGGCGAUCACGGUGACACCGCUGGUCCUAGCCGCCUCACUCUGCUGCGCGCCAGUCUGGAAGGGCCCGUGCCCAUCAGCAGCAUCUCGGCCGCGCAGCGGCUCGUCGUAUGCGAAGGUGCCGUGCGCAGCAAACUCGCAUUAUUCGACAAAAAGUGAUAUUACGCGUGAUCUUGCGCGCGAGUCGGCCGGCGGUUUCUUAUCGUUUUUUCUACAACGCUCGGACGGCGCUCGCGUGAGAAGAGCAGUGAAGCGCGAUGCGGGUUUCGGGGUGGGCUCGGCAGAGGCUCGUUGUCGUGCGCGGCGACGGCGGGUAUCCUCAGACAUUACGCGAUAAUUAAAUGUAAACAGCGUGUUCUUAUAUAUAAUUUAAGAGUGAAGAGCAAAUGGCAGUUAAAGAUACAAUAGCAAUCGAUUUUAUUGCGCAUGAAAGAUUAGGGCGGGAGAGAAGAGGAUCGCAGCAUCGGCGCGUCGGAGAUCGAUCGUAUGCGGCUUGUUAGCGGGAUAUUGUUGAUACACGCGCGCGGCGUGCUGACCGAUACUUCUCUAAAAACCUAGUAACCUGACUGUGAUGUUUUUUGAUAAUCUACAUACAUACAUACAUUAUUGAGCUGUACGACUGAAAUUUGGCGGAGCCAUCAGCACACAGGAUCUUUUAUAUGCAACACGAGUCGCGUUUCAUGUACUUGGGCUAUAACGAUGCGUCGUUCGGAAGGAAAGAGAUAGAGAAAGAAAGAGAGAGAAAGAGAGGACGAAGCAAUAACGAAUUUCGUUUGAAAACUGCGUUCGAGAUUAGCGCUGGCGUAGCGCUAAUCGGUUAUUCGCGAUCGACACACCUUUUGCAGUGCCUCGCAGUUCCUAGUAGCCAUCUCCGUCCUUAUGCACACGAACCGUGGAUACUACCGGAAGGGUUUAGCUAUUCAGAUCGACGACGCUGAGAUACACCGUGUCCUGGAUAUUCUUGUUGACGUGUUGUGCGAAGCCGAGAGAGUUUGUCCACUUUGAGAAGAGAACAUAUGAAACU
rnacentral:misc_RNA from 1 species